UGGCUCGGUUGGUAGAGCAUGGGGUUUGCAACGCCAGGGUUGUGGGUUCGAUUCCCAC
rnacentral:tRNA from 1 species